rnacentral:tRNA from 1 species
AAGAUAAAUAAAAUAGAUUUCUAAUCUAUAUAAAAGUAUAAACUUAUAUCUUA